rnacentral:rRNA from 1 species
UGCAAGUCGAGCGAACAGAUGAGAAGCUUGCUUCUCUGAUGUUAGCGGCGGACGGGUGAGUAACACGUGGGUAACCUACCUAUAAGACUGGGAUAACUCCGGGAAACCGGGGCUAAUACCGGAUAAUAUUUUGAACCGCAUGGUUCAAUAGUGAAAGACGGUUUCGGCUGUCACUUAUAGAUGGACCCGCGCCGUAUUAGCUAGUUGGUAAGGUAACGGCUUACCAAGGCGACGAUACGUAGCCGACCUGAGAGGGUGAUCGGCCACACUGGAACUGAGACACGGUCCAGACUCCUACGGGAGGCAGCAGUAGGGAAUCUUCCGCAAUGGGCGAAAGCCUGACGGAGCAACGCCGCGUGAGUGAUGAAGGUCUUCGGAUCGUAAAACUCUGUUGUUAGGGAAGAACAAAUUUGUUAGUAACUGAACAAGUCUUGACGGUACCUAACCAGAAAGCCACGGCUAACUACGUGCCAGCAGCCGCGGUAAUACGUAGGUGGCAAGCGUUAUCCGGAAUUAUUGGGCGUAAAGCGCGCGUAGGCGGUUUCUUAAGUCUGAUGUGAAAGCCCACGGCUCAACCGUGGAGGGUCAUUGGAAACUGGGAAACUUGAGUGCAGAAGAGGAGAGUGGAAUUCCAUGUGUAGCGGUGAAAUGCGCAGAGAUAUGGAGGAACACCAGUGGCGAAGGCGGCUCUCUGGUCUGUAACUGACGCUGAUGUGCGAAAGCGUGGGGAUCAAACAGGAUUAGAUACCCUGGUAGUCCACGCCGUAAACGAUGAGUGCUAAGUGUUAGGGGGUUUCCGCCCCUUAGUGCUGCAGCUAACGCAUUAAGCACUCCGCCUGGGGAGUACGACCGCAAGGUUGAAACUCAAAGGAAUUGACGGGGACCCGCACAAGCGGUGGAGCAUGUGGUUUAAUUCGAAGCAACGCGAAGAACCUUACCAAAUCUUGACAUCCUUUGACCGCUCUAGAGAUAGAGUCUUCCCCUUCGGGGGACAAAGUGACAGGUGGUGCAUGGUUGUCGUCAGCUCGUGUCGUGAGAUGUUGGGUUAAGUCCCGCAACGAGCGCAACCCUUAAGCUUAGUUGCCAUCAUUAAGUUGGGCACUCUAGGUUGACUGCCGGUGACAAACCGGAGGAAGGUGGGGAUGACGUCAAAUCAUCAUGCCCCUUAUGAUUUGGGCUACACACGUGCUACAAUGGAUAAUACAAAGGGCAGCGAAUCCGCGAGGCCAAGCAAAUCCCAUAAAAUUAUUCUCAGUUCGGAUUGUAGUCUGCAACUCGACUACAUGAAGCUGGAAUCGCUAGUAAUCGUAGAUCAGCAUGCUACGGUGAAUACGUUCCCGGGUCUUGUACACACCGCCCGUCACACCACGAGAGUUUGUAACACCCGAAGCCGGUGGAGUAACCUUUUAGGAGCUAGCCGU